CAUGCGCGCAGUACACACCGGCUCUGGAGAGUUGGCGGCAGGUAGGAGUGCGACUCUGGGCGGGGGUUCAUCAGCCCUGACGUCCAAAUCGCGACUGAGGAAUAAUCGCUAUGAGUUCCGAACACGCGUCGCCCCGCGCCCUGGUGCAGUCCCGGUCCUUUUCCUCCCUUUCAACCCCACGAUCCGCACCCGGGUCCCGGGGAAGUGUUCUGCUGAUGAGCGAAGGAGCUGACGCCAUUUCGGCAGCACCGUGACAGAUAGAUAGGUCUCUCGAUCGUGGGGGUUUCUGGGUAUUGAGGCAGCCACUUGCAGCAUUAUCCUUACCAGUUUGUAAGGUGUGUUUGAAAACACAGGUAGUGGAAACAGGAGCGGAUUGAUCUCUUAAACACUGCCUGAAAUGAGUAUCUAAAUCCAAGAUUAGGAGUUUAGAACAAUAUAGUUCCGAGUUAAUCUCGGAUGAACAGUCAAUUAAUCAAUUUAUAGUCAAUUAACAGUCAAUCCAGUAAAUUAAAAUGUCAGUGAUGCUGCGGGAGGGGGGUGUAGGGGAACACAACAAAAUCCUUCCAUAAGUUUUUAUUCGUGAGAAGAUAAGUUUUGUUCUAGCUUUCCUUUUUCUGGUCCUUUCUACCCAUGAGGUCAAAAUUUAUACCAUACUCUCUUCAAUAAUGAUAUUGAACAUCUUUGUCCCGGUCAACAUUGAUCUGCAGCUUUCACAUCACAAAAGUGGUACUUUCCAAUGAGAAAGACUACUGCCCCUCCCCUUCAUAUUCAUUGCAUUGUCAUUGAUGAGUUCACCACCUCAAUCUGUCAAUCAUCUAGGGCAGGGCUCAGUCUCCAGGGUCAGCUCUGUGUUAUUUUGUGUUCUUUGUAGUGCCAUGGAACAUGACCAGAAUUUGAAAUAAUACUAAUGGAGAGAGACAAACUGAGCCAAGUCACAGAUUGAGCACAGGCAGAAAUGACCAGUACUGAUGCAAACAAGCAAAAGGUUAGAUAAUUUGGUGGUCAGCCCUGAUGCCUGAUGUGUGACCAGUUAGAACAUAGAAUAGUACAGCACAAUACAGGCCCUUUGGCCCACAAUGUUGUGCCGACCCUCAAACCCUGCCUCCCAUAUAACCCCUCACCUUAAAUUCCUCCAUAUACCUAUCUAGUAGUCUCUUAAACUUCACUAGUGUAUCUGCCUCCACCACUGACUCAGAUAGUACAUUCCACGCACCAACCACUCUCAGAGUGAAAAACCUUCCUCUAAUAUCCCCCUUGAACUUCCCUCCCCUUACCUUAAAGCCAUGUCCUCUUGUACUGAGCAGUGGUGCCCUGGGGAAGAGGCACUGGCUGUCCACUCUGUCUAUUCCUCUUAAUAUCUUGUACACCUCUGUCAUAUCUUCUCUCAUCCUCCUUCUCUCCAGAGAGUAAAUCCCUAGCUCCCGUAAUCUCUGAUCAUAAUCCAUACUCUCUAAACCAGGCAGCAUCCUGGUAAAUCUCUGGUAGAAGAUAAGGAGUUGAUCCUACAACUUGUACUGAACCUCACUGUAACAGUGUGAUGUUAGCGCUCAGCAUAAGAGACUAAAAUUAUCUCAUCUGAAAUGUUGUCCUUCACCCAUUUGUGCCUUUUGUAAAUCUUUCUACAGGUUAGAAAUGGCAAAGAAUUUCUGUGUGGUAAUCUCAAACACAACAACACGUCAGUUUCCAGUCUCUAUCCAGAUACUUAAAGAGUGACCAGAUAUUUCCUUUGUAACACCAAUAUAUCUGUUGUUGAUUCUUGGAGAUGAAGAAGUAUCUCAUCCCAGCUGGAAAUGUACUUUGUGUCUGAAAUGAAGUUUUCUGUUGGAAACAAUGAAAUCCCCAGGAACUGGGUGCUGAGAAACAACCAGCAUUUGCUCACUAGAGAUCAAUUCCUUAACUGCAUCGAUUUUGCGAGGGACUCACUACAUUUGACACCUGACUUGAUGAAUUACCAGAGAAUUGAUAACAGGGAGAUAUCAUUCUGCUGCUCUCAGUGUGGGAAGACAUUCACUCACUCAGUCUACCUGCAGUCACAUCUAUGAAUUCACACUGAGGUGAGGCCAUUCACCUGAUCUGUGUGUGGGAAGUGAUCUACUCGGUCAUCCCACCUGAAGAUACAGGAGCAAGUUCACUCCAUACUGAGAUGGUUCACUUCUGCUGACUGCAGGAAGUGAUUCAUUCUAUCAUCCACGUUGACAAUACAUCAGAAAAUCCUCAUCAGUGAGAGACCUUUCAAUUCCUAUAUGUCUGGGAAGGUAUUCACUCACUCAGCGCACCGCAGAGACACCAGUGAGUUGACAAGGGAGAGAGACUGCUCAAUUGUUCUGUGUCUGGGAAGAGAUUCACUUGGUCAUCAGACCUGCUCACUCAUGAGCAAGUGCACACUCUGGAGAGGCAGUACAUCUGCUCUGAAUGUGGGAAGGGAUUCACUCACUCAUCCCAUCUAGAGAGAUAGAAACGAGUUCAUCUGUUAAGUGUGUGGGAAGGGAUUCACUCUGCCAUCUCACCUACUGGCCAUCCAAUUAGUUCAUACUGGGGAGAGGACAUUCACCUGUUCAGACUGUGGGAAGAGAUUCACUCGCACCUCACCUACUGGCACACCAGUCAGUUCACACUGGGGAGAUGCUGUUCACCUGCUCUGAAUGUGGGAAAGGCUUUACAAGGUUACAGCACCAGUGGAUUCACUCAGGAGAGAAGCCAUUCACCUGUUCUGUUUGUGGGAAGGAAUUCACUCGGUUAGCAACUUAGGGAGACACGAAUCAGUUCACAUGGCAGUGAGGCCGAUUGUUUGCUCAGACUAUGGGAAGGGAUUCUCUCGGUCAUCUGAACUGAAGGUACAUCAGCAAGCUCACACUGAGGAGAGUCCAUUCACCUGCUCAGACUGUGGGAAGGGAUUCACUCGGUCAUCUCACCUGCUGGCGCACCAGUUAGUUCACACUGGGGAGAGGCCAUUCACAUGCUCAGAUUGUGGGAAGGGAUUCACUCAGUUAAGCAACCUACGGACACACCAAUUUGUUCACACUGGGGAGAAGCCAUUCGUCUGCUCAGACUGUGGAAAGGAAUUCACUCGGUCCACUGAUAUGAAGCGACAUCAGCGAGUUCACACAGGGCAGAGACCAUUUAUCUGCUCAGCCUGUGGGAAGGGAUUCACUCAGUCAUCUCACUUAAUGGCACACAAGUUAGUUCACACUGAGGGGAAGCAGUUCACCUGCUCAGACUGUGGGAAGGGAUUCACUCAGUCAUCCACUCUUCUGGCACACUACAGAAUUCACACAGGGGAGAGACCGUUCACCUGCACAGACUGUGGUAAGAGAUUCAAUCGGUCAUAUAAGCUGAAGGUUCAUAAGCGAGUUCACACUGGGGAGAGACCAUUCACCUGCUCAGACUGUGGGAAGGGAUUCUCUCGAUCAGAUCAACUAAAGGUUCAUCAACAAGUUCACACUGGGGAGAGAGCAUUCACCUGUUCAGUCUGUGGGAAGGCAUUCACUCGAUCCUAUAAACUGAAGGUCCAUCAGCGAGUUCACACUGGGGAGAGGCCAUUCACCUGCUCAGACUGUGGGAAGGGAUUCAUUCACUCAUCCAGACUUGUGACACACUAUCAAGUUCACACAGGGGAAAAGAAUUAAAUAAGCUACACGCUGGAUAUUUAACCUUCACAGUUACUGAAUUCACAGGCAAGUUCAAAAGUGAGCGUUGGUGUUCAUCUCUAAUGCUGCUGCUCAUCACACCCAGUUCUGCACCCUGGUCACUGGACGUGGGAGGAAUUUUUUCUGCUUAUGUUCACCUUUAACGGGACUGUACAGAUUUCCUUUUAGUUACCUGCAUGACUUUCUGCAUAUUGAAGAAGAGGCAAGAUAACUGAAUUUAUGUUUUACAUGUUCUGUGUCCUGUGAUCUCUAGGCCAAGGAAGAGUGACAUUGGUAGUUCACCUCCUCAUUCCCUGCUCAUUUCAACCCAGCUCAUUUCAACUGCUAUGUGUCAUUUGCACUGCUGAAGAGCUGUAUCUCACACAGGCUGUGUGUGCAGAACAGUUUAAUAUGCCUCCAGCGGCCAUACAAACUAUCAUUCUGGAGCUUCUUUGUUCUCUUAUUCAGUGAGUAAGUGUUUCCUCUGGUUAAUUUUUACUGUGGUGCAGACGAAGUACUUUUUAACUACCUAGAUUAUCGUUAUGUUUAGAUUUGGAAUUUUUGUUAUCUUUGGGUAUGAAGUAGCUAUUUUAUGUUAGGGACCUCUUUAGUUUCUCUCUCUUCUUCAAGUAGUAAACUCCUGUCACUGUUGCUGUCAACUUAUAAUAAAACAAUUAUGAAGUGACAAGUUUCUUGCCUUGUUCCUGACCUCUGAAGUUGGAGUUAAAUACCCACAUGAGCCAAUUGGCAUGGUCAGCAGGAUUUAGAUCUCAGAAUAAUCCAAGAUAAAGGGAGAAAGUUUGGUGUCUAAAGAAAGGGGAUAAGAAUUUACUUUCAUGUUUCAAAUUUGUCAGAGAAGAAAAAACUAAUUUUGGCAUCAUUAGAUGGAAAGCAGGAUGGAGGACUGUUGUGUAGAUGUUUUUAAAAACAUCUGUUAAAAAGAAACGUGAUCUGGUAGAGCAUCAAAAAUAAAUUUGGAGAAGCAUGGCACAGAGAUUAAAAAAUAAUAAAUUUGUGCAAUCUAGCAGAGCAUGGGGAAAAUAUUAGAUUUGAGCUGGACAACCUGUUAAAAUUUCAAGAUCGUGGUCAAAGUAAAAGUACGUAUGUUUUUAAGAUAGAAUCAGAACAAUGGCCAAUGUCCUGAAACAUUUAAUUUUGAUAAGAUUAUUAAAAUAUUCCAUCAAUGUUGAAUGUAAUGAAAAAUGGCCCCUAGCUGAUAUUGUGAAUGUAUGCAUAAGACAUAAAACAUAGAAUAGUACAGCACAUUGCAGGCCCUUCGGCCCACAGUGUUGUACUGACCUUCAAACCCUGACUCCCAUAUAAACCCCCACCUUAAAUUCCUCCAUGUACCUAACUAGUAGUCUCUUAAACUUCACUAGUGUAUCUGCCUCCACCACUGACUCAGGCAGUGCAUUCCAUACACCAACCACUCUCAGAGUGAAAAACCUUACUGUAAUAUCCCCCUUGAACUUCCCUCCCCUUACCUUAAAUUCAUGUCCUCUUGUACUGAGCAGUGGUGCCCUGGGGAAGAGGCGCUAGCUGUCCACUCUGUCUAUUCCUCUUAAUAUCUUGUACACCUCUAUCAUGUCUCCCCUCAUCCUCUCCAAAGAGUAAAGCCCUAGCUCCCUUAAUCUCUGAUCAUAAUCCAUACUCUCUAAACCAGGCAGCAUCCUGGUAAAUCUCCUCUGUACCCUUUCCAAUGCUUCCACAUCCUUCCUAUAGUGAGGUGACCAGAACCGGACACAGUACUCCAAGUGUGGCCUAACUAGAGUUUUAUAAUGCUGCAUCAUUACAUCGCGUCUCUUAAACUCUAUCCCUCGACUUAUGAAAGCUAACAUCCCAUAAGCUUUCUUAACUACUCUAUCUACCUGUGAGGCAACCUUCAGGGAUCUGCGGACAUGUACCCCCAGAUCCCUCUGCUCCUCUACACUACCAAGUAUUCUGCCAUGUACUUUGUACUCUGCCUUGGAGUUUGUCCUUCCAAAGUGUACUACCUCACACUUCUCUGGUUUGAACUCCAUCUGCCACUUCUCAGCCCACUUCUGCAUCCUAUCAAUGUCUCUCUGCAAUCUUCGACAAUCCUCUACACUAUCUACAACACCACUAACCUUUGUGUCGUCUGCAAACUUGCCAACCCACCCUUCUACCCCCACAUCCAGGUCGUUAAUAAAAAUCACAAAAAGUAGAGGUCCCAGAACAGAUCCUUGUGGGACACCACUAGUCACAACCCUCCAAUUUGAAUGUACUCCCUCCACCACAACCCUCUGCCUUCUGCAGGCAAGACAAUUCUGAACCUACCUGGCCAAACUUCCCUGGAUCCCAUGCCUUCUGAUUUUCUGAAUAAGCCUACCAUGUGGAGCCUUGUCAAAUGCCUUACUAAUAUCCAUGUGGGUCACAUUCACCGCACUACCCUCAUCUAUAUGCCUGGUCACCUCCUCAAAGAACUCGUAUCAGGCUUGUUAGGCAUGAUCUGCCCUUCACAAAGCCAUGCUGACAGUCCCUGAUCAGACCAUGAUUCUCUAAAUGCCCAUAGAUCCUAUCUCUAAGAAUCUUUUCCAACAGCUUUCCCACCACAGACAUAAGGCUCACUGGUCUAUAAUUACCUGGACUAUCCCUACUACCUUUUUUGAACAAGUGGACAACAUUCGCCUCCCUUCAAUCCUCCGGUACCAUUCCCGUGGACAACGAGGACAUAAAGAUCCUAGCCAGAGGUUCAGCAAUCUCUUCCCUCGCCUCGUGGAGCAGCCUGGGGAGUAUUCCAUCAGGCCCUGGGGACUUAUCCAUCCUAAUGUAUUUUAACAACUCCUAACAACUCCUCUCCCUUAAUAUCAACAUGCUCCAGAACAUCAACCUCACUCAAACUGUCCUCACCGUCAUCAAGUUCCCUCUCAGUGGUGAAUACCGAAGAGAAGUAUUCAUUGAGGACUUCGCUCACUUCCACAGCCUCCAGGCACAUCUUCCCACUGUUAUCUCUAAUUGGUCCUACCUUCACUCCUGUCAUCCUUUUGUUCUUCAUGUACAAUGUCCUGUGUAUGUUACUCAAAAUGGCCUCUUUGGUUUGUUACAAGUAGGAAUGCUUCUUUGUCGGAUAAGUGUUUCUCUCGCCGUUGUUUCACUUUAGAAUGGCUGAUAUGGUAAUUGUAUUCAUUUGUUAAUCAAUGGGGAAUGUUAUUGUGUCUUGUGAUGCUGGGAACUUAGGGGAGGGGUUUUCGCGGGUUUUUUGGCGGGAGGAAGACGUCGAGGAAGGUGGACGUGUGCUGCACUGCUUGGAAGACCCCCGGGCGUGGUCCUAGGUGCGAAGACAUGGAGGUUGGAGGCAAGUGACGAGGGGUUGAAUGGUUCGUUGAUUGAGCUCCAACGAGUGCACUAAACAGACUGAACUUUGAUAAGUUGGCGCCUUUUGUUUUUUUCCUUGUAUAUAUAUAUAUAUUGUAUUGCCUACUACUCUUUUAAUUUUAGUAAACUCUUUAAAGUGUA